UGGAGUACAUUAUAUACAUUGAAUAGCAGUAACAGUACGGGGAGCAUUUAUAUACCAAUAUACUAACCUGGAGUUUUGUUAACUCUGACUGAAUUUAAGAAAAAUAUUCAGUUCCUAUUCAGAUUCUAUUGAUUUUAAACCUAUUUGAUGCAAGUUCCUGAAUGGGAUUUUUGGUGCAGCACACUGCAGGGAAAUUUGCAGGACCACAACUGGACUAGCGGAGGCCCACGUGGAUUUUGGGGCUAAAACCCAAGGGUUUGCAUUCUGGCACUGAAAAUCAGCCAUGUGUGCCUGCACCCAGGCCAACUCAAUGGUUCCGGCAAGGUGCGGAGGAAGUGUUCUCCAGCGUUGGACACUCAAAACCCAUUUUAUCCUAUGAGUCAAAAUCUUCCAAGACGGCUCCAAAUUCAGUUGCAAUGAAAACUGUGGAAAAAUUCACUCUAUGGGAAAUUUAGUACAAUAACAAAUGAUGAUAAAUUACUGUAAUUUAAGAAGUGCUAUUCUGAGACAAUUUGCAAUUGGUCUAUUUUUUGAGCUGUAACCUUUUCUAUUCCAGCCAGGGUCAUUGACCCCAACAAUGAGAAGCAGAUUCAAUCUGAAUCAGAUUGAUUCAGAUUGUUAUCCUAAGCAGAUUGAUUCAGAGGGUUAUCCUAGCAACCAGGCACUGGUUUGAAUGAGAGACUAGAAUAGAAAUAGGAAAGACAUCAUCUGACAUCAGUAGGAAUACUCCAUAAAAGACAAAAAGCCUCUCUCCUUGCAACUGACUAUUUGGUCCAUCAGAAGCAGGAGCAUAGCUCGACCAUAGAGGCGAAAAGUUGUUUUAUAAAAAAUGUGCAGUAGACCUGAUACAGAGCUGUUUUGCUCCAGAAAUAACAAAAACCCAUUUUGCUCUGGAUUUGACACAUACCAUUUUGCUUCUGAAAUUAUAUAACUGACAUAAAGUAAUUUUAUAAUGGAGACUUUUUCCAUUCAUUUGGCUCUACUAACAAGUCAUUUGCUAAUGAUACUGCAUUAUAUUUAUUAAAUGCAAGGUCAACACCUUUUUUCAAAAGUUUCCCCCUUCGUUUUUACAUGAUAAAGAGAUAUAUUUCCCAACAAUUAAUGUGCAACAAUUAAAAUGGAUAAAAUACCUUUGUGAGAAUUAUGUCUAAGUCAAAGUUAUUUUUGGAUUCCUUUUCAGGCAGAAUGUAAGUCCCUAUUUCCUGCUCUCCCCAUUACACACUAAGAGAGGAAAAGUCUCUCUGCAGAGACCAAUGACUUUAUACUUUUUACUAUUUUUGCUAUGAGGCUGGCUUAAACAUCUAAGAAUAUUCUCCAGAAGCAUGAACUUUCAUAAUAUUAGGCAGUUUGUUCAGUGUUACCCUGCCAGAGGCAUGUGGGUGGCUUGCAGACUAAAGAGGUGCUGCUAGCAGCAAAAAGAAAUUGUGGAAAUGUUUCCAUUUUUUGAAUACCACAUUCGACGCUGUGCUGUAAGUCAGAAAUAAUUAAACUCUCAAUCUGAGGAUCAAAAGGUUGCUCCCAUUGUGGUUUUCAUCAAACAUGUUAAGAAACAUCAGAACUAUUCAAAAGUUGUAUGAGUUUUUUGAAAGAUUAUUUUCACAAUAAUUACUUAUUUUCCCAUCAAAAUCAAAAAGUUGUAAAUCAGUCUACCUGCUCUUAAAUAUUUACAUUUUUCCUUGGGGCUGCCAGAUAGCUGCUAUUUUAGAUUCUGUUUCAAACCUGCUAAGCUCUUAGCUAGCACUAAAAUUAUUAAGUUGUUAAGGGAGUGCAAUAUAUUUACAGAAUAGGAGACCCAGUCUGUGGGAAAAUAAGAGACAUUCCUAACAUUUCACUAACAUAGCAGUGAAGCAACAUGUAUGAUGAGAGCCUGAGGCAUGCUCCAAAAUUGAAUAAGGCCUAGUAGAACUGAUUAUAAAUUAAAAUAUUCUAGGAACAUACUGUAUUUAUUGUGAUAUAGAGGUCUCUGUGUGUACUGUACUUCUCCACAGCGUACUAGGGUGUCCGGGGCCCUCCGGGGAUGCCAGUGAUGGAGGCCCCCACUGCACCCUCCACAAGCUUUACAGCUCCCUCCUUCCCAACUCAUAUCUCUGAGUUGCAGCACUAAUUUCCUUGCCACCUGCAGGUGGUGGGGGGACCACCAUGUUUUUUCCCGGGAACUCUGACAGCCCAGUUCAGAGUUCAAAUGAAUAAGGGAUAGGAGUUCGUAAAGAGGUCAUGUCUAAGUAGCACUUCCUGCAAUGAAGUAUUAGCACAGGUAUGGGACCUGUUAUCCAGAAUGCUUCAGACCUGGUGUUUUCCAGAUAAUUAAUUAAUUAAUA